ensembl:lncRNA
UUGCCAGCUCAUAUUUUCCGGAAAGGCGUUUCAUCAGCUGAACAAUUGGUAUGUUGUUAUAAAAAAAACGUUAAACUCUGCACUUCUGUCCUUCACAGCCUCUUUUUCAUCCUGUCGAAACUUAAAUAUGGCAUCACCCUGAGUAAGAUCUACGUUCUCAGCAAUGCAAAUCCAUCUACUCUGGUGCUACUUAUAAUUUUGGGUCUGCAUUUCUUUUAGAAAGAAAAAAAAGUGCAUUUUAUAUAGGCAGAGUUAUAUCUGGCUGCUGGCUCCUUCCUUUUUAGGAGAGCGUGGUCUGGAAGCUGUUCAUGGUUGUGCAGGUUUUAAUGAACUCGUACUCUUACGUAAGCACUGUUGCAGAUCUUGGCUUCUCAUUGUGCAGUUGAGUAAGAAUCUGUUCAUCAUGUUGUAAGAUCAGAUAUGUCCACUUUGAUUCAGUGAAACAGGAGAAAUUAAAGUAGAUACAGCAGCAUUACAAGUUAAAGAAGUGAGUGAGAACUGUUAACAGACUUUCAAAAUAACAAGAUGCUAAUUCAUGAAGACAGUCUCUCAGGCCUUGUUGAUUUUUUUUCCCACUUUCUAGCAUCUAAAAUGUAUUUGAUCAUUCAUUAGAGACCAAGCAAUCACCUAAACAACUGAGAACUAUCAUUAGCAAUUAUAAACUGUAUCAGUCAGGAAAGCUGCUUGCACUCAGAGCAAGAUCUUUUUUUUUUUUUUUUAUGCUUACUGACAUACUCAACCUAAAAGCAGUUUGCUUUCUAACUCCUAGUUUUCACCUUUGUCUUCACAGGUCACUUUACACUGGAUCUGCACUGCAGCAUGCUUGCAUCAUCAAUUAGUGGUCACUGCAGUACGUUGCUUUGUCAACUGCAUGAACGGUUGGAGCACAUUUUUGGCGGAGAUCAGACAUGAGGUGCUUUGAAGUCUAGGAAAGCUCUUCUGAAAAAAUGUCAGUAAUGUUAAUUUGAACUUGAACUGGUCUCUCACGUGCACAGAUCUUUAAAUAUGCCCCAACAGCUUGAAAAUGCAAUAGUGGUUCAGGCAUGAUGCAGGAUUGUUGUCACAAUUACAAGCCUGUGUGUGUGUGUGUGUGUUAGAUUGAGUCUGAAUCAGAAAGAUUCACUCCAUGCCAAAUGCCUCCUCCACACUAUGAUAAAACCUGGAAUUAGCAGAGCAAAUUUUCAGUCCAGUUAUAACAGUGCACCAAUGUCCACCCCAGUUCAUAAUUUUUUUUCCCAU